GCAGGCCUCUGGGAAGCUGCCACCGGGAGGGGCCAGAGCCCCAGGCGGCGCUCAGGCCCCUUGGCCUGGAGCCCCAGUUCCCAAUGUGUUACGGAUACGUGUUGUAGCCCUGUGGGAACAACUCAGCUGGCCACCUGAAGCCCUGAUGCUCUGGCUUGCACUAUUACUGGGUUUCCAGAUUAGAACUUCGCCUGUCCUGCAAGCCUGACCUGAGUCUGAGCUGGGCCUGCCUUCAGCUUUCUCCCUAUUCUCUGGAUGCCUUAUGUGACCUUCUCUUGGGGCAUGGAUCAGGCAGCCCUGCAUAAAAGCAUGGUCCCAAAUCUUGACUUCUCCACUCACAAGCUGGCUGAUCUGAGGUUCCUCUGCUUGAUGGUUCUAUGUGCAAUACAUUUCUCCCUUCACACCUUAGGCACUGAUGGUGCAUGACAAACCGUGGUGAUGGUUCUCCACUGAGAAGAGAUGAUAAAGUCUCUCAGAAGCAAUACUCUUCUUACCAAGUGUCCUGCUUUGGAUCAUGAUUUAUAUGGCCACUUCUGUAAGAAAAGGAACAGAUUUUCAAAUCCUGCUUCAUGUGGUGCCAGAAUCUCUGCUUUUUGCCUCUUUCUCAUCCUCUGUGAGUGCAAUUGUGGCUUUCCUUAUCAGAUGUUCGGCAGUAGCCCUGGGUGAGGUAGGAGGAUGUGGGUCCUGGACGACACAUGACUGCUCUCCAGAACCUAGAGCACUUCUCCAGGGAGAGAAUUUCACAGCUCAUUGACUGCUCUGACUCCUAAUCUACACGGAGGAAACAAUGUUGCAGCUCAUCAAAUGCAAUCAGCUGCUAAUUGAAAGGAAAUGGAAUUUUACAAUUACAGGCCACCUUUCAGUGCUCAGGAUUUCUAAGCACUUCUCCCCACCCUCCUUUGCCAGCUCAGCACUGGCAGGAGCACUUGACAACCUGCUAGAGACUUCCCUAAAAGCUGCAUUUAGGACCUGGCCCAUUUCUCCCCAGCUCCAGAGCAGCAGCAAAGGGAAGCAGCGUCCUCGCCAAUUCCUGGGCUGUCCUUCAAGGCUCAGUGCAAGGAAAAACACCCGGGUUGGACACCAGGCGAGCUGAGUGCUGGUCCUUGUUCACCUUCCCCCACGCCUUGUGGCAGUGUGACCUUGGCAUGCCCCCCUUUCCCUCUGUGCCCCACUCCCCUUCUCGCUAAAAUCAAGAAGCUGAAUUUGAUGACCUCUUGGUUCUUAUCAGCUCUGAUGAUUCUGUUUGUCCUGUUCUUGCCACUAUCCUCAUCCAAUGGAAGACAUCUAAAUUGACACCCUCUUUCUUGCCCAGUUAUCUGCUGUUCCAAAUGCUUCCAGGGUGACUGUCUUAGGUCUCCCAAAAGAUGUAUCCUGAUGAGAUUUUAAUGGGCCAGAAAGCAAAUUUGGGAAACAUCCUACUCAAUCUUCUGAUCAGACAUCUCUCUCCCCGUCCUGGAUCCAUUCACUUCCUUGGACAAAUAUCAAUCAUGAUUAAAUCUAAAGACAG
rnacentral:lncRNA from 1 species